rnacentral:misc_RNA from 1 species
UGGUAAAUAUUCUCAAGCAACCCGGUUCAGUACAACAUGCCUCUAUUGAGUCUAGCUUGACAUGGGAAUCCUCAUGCUUUUGCAAUUGAGAGGCAUAUCUGAAAACUUUUCCACAUCCAUCUUCGGGGCAAACAAACUGCUUCUGACAUUUUUUAGGAGGAGCUUCACCUUCAUGGCAUUCUUUCAAGUGUCUAUGUACACAUGAUAUAUAUGCAAAUUCACGGUUACAGCUCUCAAUUGGACAUUUGAAUAUAAUUCCUUGAUGCUGGAGAAGGUGGCGGGUCA